rnacentral:tRNA from 1 species
GCGCUUGUAGCUCAAUUGGAUAGAGCGUUGGUCUACGGAACCAAAGGUUGGGGAUUCGAACUCCUCCAGGCGCACCA